CCUACGGGAGGCAGCAGUGGGGAAUAUUGGACAAUGGGGGCAACCCUGAUCCAGCCAUGCCGCGUGUGUGAAGAAGGCCCUCGGGUUGUAAAGCACUUUCAGUGAGGAAGAACGCCUGGUGGUUAAUACCCAUCAGGAAAGACAUCACUCACAGAAGAAGCACCGGCUAACUCCGUGCCAGCAGCCGCGGUAAUACGGAGGGUGCGAGCGUUAAUCGGAAUUACUGGGCGUAAAGCGCGCGUAGGUGGCUUGAUAAGCCGGUUGUGAAAGCCCCGGGCUCAACCUGGGAACGGCAUCCGGAACUGUCAAGCUAGAGUGCAGGAGAGGAAGGUAGAAUUCCCGGUGUAGCGGUGAAAUGCGUAGAGAUCGGGAGGAAUACCAGUGGCGAAGGAGGCCUUCUGGACUGACACUGACACUGAGGUGCGAAAGCGUGGGUAGCAAACAGGAUUAGAUACCCUUGUAGUC
rnacentral:rRNA from 1 species